UACAGUUUCCCUUAAAAUCUUCAGAGGUGUAGAAUGUCUCAAGUUGGAUUUAAAGACAGAUCCAGGAAAACGUGCACGCUUGGAAUGCUAUUUGGCGAUGAGGGGAGGCUUUAGCUUAAAGCUCGUAGUCAGGGGUAUACUGUCUGUGCUAUUUUCAACAGAAUUAGCCCGGUGUUACAACUAUAAUGGCCUGAAGGGAAAGAAGGGACUGAAGAACCACCCCUUUAUUUUAAGAACAGUUCAGGGAAUGCUAUUUGGCAAUGCGUGGGG